UACGUAGGGUGCAAGCGUUAAUCGGAAUUACUGGGCGUAAAGCGUGCGCAGGCGUUUUGUAAGCCAGGUGUGAAAUCCCCGGGCUCAACCUGGGAAUGGCAUUUGGGACUGCAAGGCUGGAGUGCGGCAGAGGAGACUGGAAUUCCUGGUGUAGCAGUGAAAUGCGUAGAUAUCAGGAGGAACACCGAUGGCGAAGGCAGGUCUCUGGGCUGACACUGACGCUCAUGCACGAAAGCGUGGGGAGCAAACAGG
rnacentral:rRNA from 1 species